rnacentral:rRNA from 1 species
UAAAGUUGUUGCAGUUAAACAGCUCGUAGUUGAAUUUCGGGGUUAGUAGGUUGGUCGUGCCACUGGUAUGCACUGGUUUCGCUGAUUCCUCCUUCUUGCAGAACCGUAAUGCCAUUAACUUGGUGUUGCGGGGAAACAGGACUGUUACUUUGAAAAAAUUAGAGUGUUUAAAGCAGGCUAACGCUUGAAUACAUUAGCAUGGAAUAAUGAAAUAGGACGUUCGAUCCUAUUUUGUUGGUUUCUAGGAUUGACGUAAUGAUUAAUAGGG